UACAGAGGUCUCAAGCGUUGUUCGGAUUCAUUGGGCGUAAAGGGUGCGUAGGUGGCGCGGUAAGUCGGGUGUGAAAUCUCGGAGCUUAACUCCGAAAUUGCAUUCGAUACUGCCGUGCUUGAGGACUGGAGAGGAGACUGGAAUUCAUGGUGUAGCAGUGAAAUGCGUAGAGAUCAUGAGGAAGACCAGUGGCGAAGGCGGGUCUCUGGACAGUUCCUGACACUGAGGAGCGAAAGCGUGGGGAGCGAACAGG
rnacentral:rRNA from 1 species